rnacentral:tRNA from 1 species
GGGCGGAUAGCUCAGAUGGCAGAGCAUCUGCUUUACACGCAGGAGGUCACAGGUUCAAGUCCUGUUUCGCCCA